CAUCCAGAGAAAACAGAAGCAGAAUGGCACAUUGUAUUACAGAUUACAUUGUGACAACUAAAAAUGAUUCGAUCCUUGUCAAAGGAGGAUGGGUCUAGGACUCCCAGCUGUUCCAUGGAUAUGAGAAGAGCUCUAUGGACGGUGAAAUGCAAAAGGUAUCAAGCUACACCUGAGAACCUGGGAAACCUCCAUACAUCGUGGAUGAACCCAUUAUGGAGGCUUCAGGAUCCAGUUCCAUGACAUGGAAAUAUGAACCUCCCAAAGUGGUUUACAUAAAAGCAUUAAAAUAACGAGCACCAACAAACAUCUGUACAAAAAAGCAGAAAAGAACAGCCACAAAAAGACUCUAUAAAAGGGUGAAGACUCCACCAUCACACACAAUACUGCAAAGUUCUGUGCCGCAACGUGUAGAAUCCACAGGACCAUGACAGCUCCUGCCUGGAGGGACCGUGGGCUGAGCCUACAAAAUUCAAUCUUAGCUUCAGCUCUCACACAGGCUACUGUAACCUCCUUUUAAUUGCAUCCUUUUAAUUUCUCUUGUGUACCUUUAAACACCCUUAAUUAUUUUAAUUAUUUUUAAGUACUCUUACACUUAGAGCCCUUCUGGCCCACUGUUUACAAGGAUGCAGACUUCUCUCUCGUAGACAGUCUCAGUUCUAUUUUAUAUUUUAUAUUUUAAUUUUUAAAAAAUUUCUUCCACCUUAUUACUACCCUACACUUUUAUAGCUUCACAGCUGUAGUUUUAUAUUUUAUAUUGUACCCUUGUCUGUCCCUCUUGUAUUCUACUGCUCUUAUGCUGGUCUAAGACCCAAAUAAAGGAAUUAUUGUUA